AUCCAGUCAACGAGUCCCACAUAAGACGAAACGUGCGUCCUGGAU
rfam:Schistosoma haematobium scaffold3578_2, whole genome shotgun sequence.